CUCAAUGGACAUGAAUCUGAGCAAACUCUGGGAGACAGUGGAGGACAGAGGAGGCCGGCCUGCGGCAGUCCGUGGGGUUGCAGAGUUGGACGGCUUAGCGACUGAACAACAGCAACAUAUAAAACCAGUCUAUGCUUCGACUGGUUGAUGAAAUGUUGUGACCAGAGGCUCGCAGGAACCCAACCCCAGAUCCUCCUUUGAAUUACAGGUUCUCUGUGAGCCCGAACUGAAGUUUCUUCAGCUUCAGGAUGCCCAAGUGCAGGGUCAAGUUCAAGGGUCUAGUGCUCAGUAAGCACCAUUACUGACUGUGGGGUAGCGUCUUGGGCCGCACGGGUGCCCACAAUCUCUGGGCAAACCUGUCAGAGUUGAGACUCCAAGGCUGUGUGUGGUUUGGUUUCUGGAAUGGACUGGAACAUUCCAUGUCUGCGAGUGGCCCUUCUUCCUGCAGGGAUCUGGCGUCAUUCUCCCCCCUGAGAGGGAAGUGAUUACACAGCAUACCUGUGGCUGAUGCUGGGCUGUUAAGAGCCCCGUAAAACUAAGGUAGAACUAAGGCAUAACUUGCCUGUUAGGCCACGCGCCUGAAUGACUCUUUGCAAACUUUUGCUGCGGGCCGAUUAAAAGAAAUAUCCUUACUGUUUUGAAUCAAAUUCCUGUUAAAAGCAGAGGCUCAAGUUUCUUUCCCUUGGUUUCUCCCUGCCGCUGGCCCCUGGUCGUUUGUUAAACACUCCUCCCCACUCCCCUCCCCCACACAGCCUGCCUGGGGGCCACAUCCUUUUUUACGGGACUUCAGGACUUCAGUGGCUCCUAAGGGCUUACAUUCUCUCUCUUGUUUGCUGUAGGCUGCUGGGGGAGGGGGUCUGGGAGGGAACAGAGGCCCAGAGGACUCACUGGGGCCACGAAACCAGUGAACACAGGCUUGGCUUCUCUGUUGUCCACCCAGCUGGGGAUGCCAGGUCAGCUUGUUUACAAGCGGAGGUUGAUUGACUACAACCUUCUUUCUAGUGGGAGGGAGCCAGGGGGCUUAACAAAAGCUAGGGGGAGACUUGGAGGUGGUGGAGUUGGAGGAGGAGGAGGGAGGUGGGAAAGGCUCAUUCUGGGAGCUGGAGUUUCCACUGGAUCUUGGAGGGAAGGACCUGUGCUUUCCACUUGUGUGUAGGUAUGUGCAUGUACACACGUGAGUGUGUAUUCCCCUAUGUGCAUAGAUGUGCACAUGAGUGUGUGCAUUCAGUGUGUGAUUGUGUGUGUGCCCUGCUUAAGUGAAUGUGGACAUGCCUGUAUCUGAGUGUGUGCACGAGUGCAUCCACACUCUAUGCAUAUGUGUGUGCCUGUGCACUCCAGGGUGUGCAUGUGUGUGUGUAUGUGCAUCGACAUGCAUGUCGAUGUUAUGCGUGUGCUUAUGAGUGCAGAGGUGUGCAGUGGGCACAUGUGUAUCUUCAGUGUGCGUGCAUGUAUGGUGUGCACUCCUGUGUGGGUAUGCAUGUCCAUACAUGCGUGUGUGUGUGUGUGUGUGUGUGUGUGUGUGUGUGUCUGCGUUUUGAGCGUGUUGCUGGGGGUGAGCUGGCUUGGGCAGCAGCUCUUUGGCGCUGUGGGAGAGAAAGGGUGUGGUGGAUCCAGGAGUUCAGCCACAGAAAAGAAAGUUGAUAACCAAAGAAUUUUGUUUGGAUUCUUACGGGCAGGGAGGAAAAGCGCCCCUUACUGUAGACUCUACCUUCCUAAUAUAAAACAGAGACCAAGGGGUCCAGUUUUGUAAAAAGUGGGCUGGCCAAGGCCUAUGCAAGAGACCAUUUUCCCAGUAACUAAAGUCAUAAAGAAACAUAGAAUGAGUUCCAGGCCUUUUUCUCCCAAGACUCCCCUUUCCCUCCAGAGUCUCCGAGCCCUGUGCUGUGGUGUGGCCAGUCAUUUGUUUGCAAAGUCAACUCUGAUGGACAGCUGCUGGCCACUCAGACUAAUGUCAGACCCAGUGAGCCUCAGUGAGUGAUAAGCCUUAUUUGCUAUGUCUGUUUGUUUAGACUCCACUUAAGAAUCCUUUGGGAAGAUAAUUUGUGAGAGAUUGGGGAAAUUUGAAUAUGGACUGGGUAUUAGAUGCUAUUAGGGAAUUAAAAAAAUUUUAUAUAUUUAUUUAUUUGGCUGCAUCGAGUCUUAGUUGAGGCCUGAGAACUCUUAGUUGUGACAUGUGGGAUCUAGUUCCCUGACCAGGGAUGGAACCUAGGAUGAGUUCAUUGGGAAUGCUGAGUCUUAGCCCCUGGACCACUAGCGAAAUCACCGUAUUGGGGAAUUAUUAUUAAUUUAGUUAUAUAUGAUAAAGGAACUUCAGAUAUGUGGGGGUAUCCUCUUAUUCCUCUUGGAGAUACAUGGCACAGUAUUUACUUGAAAUGCCAUGUAAUUUAUCUAUAAUUUACUUUUAAAUGGUUUAGCGAGAUAGAGAGAGGGCAAAAUGUUAACAAUUGUUGACUCUGGGUAAUAGAUGUAUUUCUGUUUCUCUUUGUGCUUGAGAAUGUCAACAGUAAAAGAAAAAAAUUAAUGCUUUGAGAGAACACUACUUAAAAAAUAAAUCUAACGUGUUGCAUGAAAAAAAAAA